UAAAGCUGGACUGUAAACCAGAAUAGUAAAAUAUCCACUUCAGUUUAAUAAAUCUGUGCAGUUACUUCUAUAGCAACAGAACAACAUUGGAGUAGCUUAUUUGCGUAUUUCUUAUUACUUUAGUGGGAAGCAUUAUUUAGUCUUUAAAACAAAUCCCUGGCUGCAGCUAACAUUUUUUCAGUCAUGAGGGUGACACAACUGGCCAAAGCAAACAUUUUAAAGCCAGGACGAGCUACGCUUUUGGCCUGGCAACACAACGCUGAUCUGGACGAAGACACUAUUCAAAAGAUGUGCCAAGGAUUAACUGAAAUUGCAGCCUGAGUGUGAUUUAUAAGCCAUUCUGCGUCAUUUGACUGUGACAGGCUCUGACAAAUUAAUAUGCCUUCAGCCCUCUCCACUACUCUUUAAGGUAAUGGUUCCAUUAGCAGAUGUUUUUCGACAUCCACUCAGAUGCCGUUGGUCCCUCAUGAGAAAGAUAUUUUUUAUGCUCCUCAUUAUCGUAAUGAUGUGAACAUAUCUGAUUUGGUAAGUUGUGCUGCCUCACAACAGUUACGAAACCGAAAAAAAGUGGAAAUGUGGAAGCAGAACAAUGAACUCAAAACACAUUUGAGUGAAAAGUUAAAGAUUUUAUUUGGUUAAAUAAUACAACCAGCUGCAUGUCUUCUUAAUACAUCAUAAAAACGCCGAGAUCUAAUUGCGAAAAGGCUGCUGCAUUUGAUCAAGUAUUGCUGGAUGACUACAUGUUGGAAUGCCAUAAAAUGAGAUAAUGCACUCAGAUUUUCUAAUCGUGUUCUCCUGAGCAUUUUGACAUAUAGGAAAAAAGUGCAAAUCAGAGAAAGUGACACCAUAGAUCAGGCCCUAAACUUUAUUUGACUCGGUGUGUACGUACUGAGGCAGUAAUGAGAUCCCAAUGCUUGUUUCCUCAGAUGCUGGACCUAGUAGCACCGAUCAUGAAAGUGACCGUGGGCCCCAAAGUCACAUCCGACAGUCCGUAAAAUGCUGGGAGGUUUUCUGGAGACACCUGUUCAACAGCUCUCAGGGGCCCAUGCAUAGGACCCACUGCGAAGGCCAAAAAUUAUAGGCCUGUGUGAAGUUAUUUGAUGUAUUGCCAUCACAGGGCACUUUUUCCAGCCCAUUAAAUCCCUAUAAAUAUACUGGAGUCUGUGGAUGUGGAAAGGCUAAACCAGUAUGAACUAUGAAGUUUCUUGCAAUGCUCUGUCCAAUUUAAAUCUGCUACUUGGAGAAGAGGAAGGUGCAGGUUGUGUGUAACGCAGUGUCUGGCCUCAUACCGAAGUGUUUACAUUUGUCCAACCCUGUGACACUCUUCCAUAAGCCUGCAGGACACAGCAUAUUUCGGCAGCCGUCAUUGUGCAGAAAAAAAAUCCAGGUCAAAUAUGCAGGACAUCAACUCGCAGCCCAACACCUCUGGCUUUUGGGAUAUGAGUGUGGCUCCAAAGUCUGGCAAAGCAAAGAAGCAUAGAUACUUUCCAAAUGACGAGAGAAACUCCUGCCAUGGAAUAAAUGGCUUUCGUUAUUCCAACUGACAGACUUACUUAUUUCCCAGAACACUCGCCUCCAGCAGGACCUAAGAUCCUUUGUUCAGGAACAAUGUAAGUUUUCUUUUUUGAAAAAAAGAAACACUUUGAAACUAUAACAUUUUUUAUGUGGUCUUUUUCUCUCUAUCCUCUUACUUUUGUCUGUGUACAUUAUGAUUAAUACACAUCAACAAAAAACUGGGCAAGCUUUAAUUUUUCAACUUCAAUGAGGUCUCUGUCAAUGGAAUCCACUUACCCUAUACUCUGAGAGUCAUCUUUCUCUGACGCACUUUCGGACCAGCCAGUUUGCAGGAGGUUUUACGUUGUUUUAUAAUGCUCCCUGCUUGCUAAAUCCUCAUCUCAGCAGAAAAUGGUGGUUUGCUGUGUUAUGCACUGACAUCCUCUGGCAGUGCUUUAUGAACCACCAAGGAACGUGCUCUGGGCUUGAAACCAGCUGCCCCUGCCAGGGCCAUACACCGAGUCUUCGGUUUGUGCCACGUUGAUGUUUCCAAGAACCUCAACUUAAAUGUCUCUGACACAGCUACAAGAGCAAAAUUUGACUUACGUUUUUUCCUUAACUUUUUCCCAUGUACUUACAAGCAUGUUCUUAACCCUUUUACUCUUUGUGAGGCACAACGAGGGAAAAUCACACAAUCAGAUUAAUAAAGGAACAAUGUAAGCUCAGUUAUACAUGAAGUCUAAAUCAGGGCAAUGUCUACUUUCUGAUUAAAUUUGUUGAAGGUCAUCUUUUCAUCACCUUUUGUCGGAAAAUCCCAACGCAGUGAACACUUUAAGAGAUAUUGCACUCUAAUCUCAAAUAUUGCUUUGGGGCUCCAGUCAAGGCAUUUUUUAAUUACUGGUUUCCAGGGGCGGACUGGAAAAUGAGGUUUAUCGAGGAUUUCCCUUCUGGGUUGGUGGUUUAGCUCAUGGAGGAGCUGUUGUGCUCGUCCCGCAGUCACACAGCACAUUGUUGUUCUGCAGCGCCAUGAUGCUUCAAACUACAAUGCCAGAUCAAAUGAAUUCUCUUCCCCAGACCUCCAGCACAUUGCUGGAGGUGUAUCUACAGUCCAGUAACUUGCCAUCAUCAGUGUGGAAAUGUGUGUGAAUGGGAAUUACUGAUUUCAUUGCAAAGUG